rnacentral:misc_RNA from 1 species
GAUGAAGAACGCAGCGAAAUGCGAUACGUAAUGUGAAUUGCAGAAUUCAGUGAAUCAUCGAAUCUUUGAACGCAUAUUGCGCUCUCUGGUAUUCCGGAGAGCAUGCUUGUUUGAGUAUCAGUAAACACCUCAACUCCCUUUUCUUUUUUGAAAUGGGAGCUGGACUUGAGUGAUCCCAACACUUUUCUCACUGGAAAGUGGCGGGUCACUUGAAAUGCAGGUGCAGCUGGACUUUUCUCUGAGCUAUAAGCCUAUCUAUUUAGUCUGCCUAAAAAACAGAUUAUUACCUUUGCUGCAGCUAACAUAAAGGAGAUGAGUUCUUGUGCUGACUGAUGCAGGAUUCACAGAGACAGCUUUGCGGCUGACUUUGUAAACUCGAUCUCAAAUCAAGUAAGACUACCCGCUGAACUUAAGCAUAUCAAUAAGCGGAGGA